UGUGGUUGCAACAAAAAGUGAUCUUCCCUCCAUCAGCAUCAUGCAUAGCAAUUAGCUGUAUUUUGAACUUCGUUCAACAACGUGGUCAAAUUCUUGUUUGUGUUUUAGUGAUAUUGUUAAUGAAAGGGCUUUAUAAGUGAUGACUUCUGUAUUUGUCCCUACAGUGCUUCAAUUGCUGCUGUUAGGCUCAAUGCAUGAUAGCAGUCUAUCUUAUGACAGCAGUCAACAUCUAAAAUGUAGACUGUUUUAAUCUUAUGUGCUGUUCUAGAAACUACUGCUGUAAUACUGAGAGUACAAACUGAGGUGUUUGCAUCCUAUAAUUGUAAGAGCGUAAGGCUUGUAGUCAUAUAGUGUAAAUUGUAUCUUCCUUGUGAAUAUAACACUAUUUUUUCAGUCUCUUAUCUAGGCCAAACCCUGCUGUGAAUGUACUGAAUGCCUUUCAGAUGAGGCUGACCUCUUCCACCACAGGAUCAAAUUGGCCUGACAGGUAGAGGAUUUGGGGGGUGGGGGGGGCAAAAAGCCUCACCCGAGAGCUGUAGAAAGCAGAGUCCAACUCAACACAUUUCAGGCAGCGAAGACCAUGGCUGCAAGACAAGUAACAAGAACGAAGGCAAUGUAACCAGAACCUCUAUCAAGCACUCAGUUCAAUCCUCAAAGAUGUGUUACUGGUCAUGUGGUGAUUAA
rnacentral:lncRNA from 1 species